rnacentral:rRNA from 1 species
AUGAACGCUAGCGGCAGGCCUAAUACAUGCAAGUCGAACGGGAUCCAGAUCAAAGCUUGCUUUGGUUUGGUGAGAGUGGCGCACGGGUGCGUAACGCGUGAGCAACCUACCCUUGUCAGGGGGAUAGCCCGGCGAAAGUCGGAUUAAUACCGCAUGACAUCAUUGAGAGGCAUCUUUCGAUGAUCAAAGAUUUAUCGGACAAGGAUGGGCUCGCGUGACAUUAGCUAGUUGGUAAGGUAACGGCUUACCAAGGCUACGAUGUCUAGGGGCUCUGAGAGGAGAAUCCCCCACACUGGUACUGAGACACGGACCAGACUCCUACGGGAGGCAGCAGUAAGGAAUAUUGGUCAAUGGACGGAAGUCUGAACCAGCCAUGCCGCGUGCAGGAAGACGGCCCUAUGGGUUGUAAACUGCUUUUAUACGGGAACAAACGUCGGUACGUGUACCGGUCUGAGUGUACCGUAAGAAUAAGGAUCGGCUAACUCCGUG